GACGGACAGCGGCGGGAAUGGCUGGCGAGCUGAGCGCUGAGGCGGAGCGGGAGAUCCGCCAGCUGCAGAAAUCCAAGGAAAAGUGGCAGCGCCUGGGGAAAGCCGCGGAGGCGGCGGCGGCCUGCGAGCGCCUGGGAGAGAUCCUGGCGGGACACGGCCGUUUCCGGGCGGCUCUGCGGGAGCACCGGGAUCAGCUGCGGCUCCUGGAGGCCGCUCCCGC